rnacentral:misc_RNA from 1 species
UUUGCCCCGGCGCAUGGUCGUUUUUCAUUUCUUUCUUUUUUUCUUUUUUCCUUCCUUUCAUUCGUUGUCGUCGUAAUCACGCACAGUCCAUAGAGGUCCGUGCACUACCACUGGCUGCUAUACGACAAUUCAUAUAUUCAUAUAUUUUAUCAUAAUAUACACGACUGCAAACGCGUUUUAUAAUAUAACAUAUUUAUACAAAUAUUACACCAGCAACUAUACCAUGGUACCGUUGAACCAGACACGAUCGUCUGCCGUUAGACGUCGCAAUCGGAUCCGAGGACCUUCGCUGUUGUUGGUGGCCUAUGCGUGCGUCUGUAUCUAUGGUAGCCAAGUCCGUUCUCAGAGAGCCGGCGGUGGUAACCGGGAUGCACCGGUGGUCAACAUCCCCAGGCAGGGCGCCGUUUCCGGUGUUGAGGUGCAGCUUAACAAGAUCGGAAACCGGGCUUGGAUGUAUCUGGGCAUACCUUUCGCCAAGCCACCCAUUGGCAACCUGCGNUUCGCGCCGCCUGAUGUCGAUCCUCCGCCCACGUGGAGCGGCGUCCUCGUUGGGUCUGCACACAAACCAGCAUGCAUCCCGGACCCGCCCGUCCGGUCACAUCCUGUCCAUCGAUUAUUCUCAACCGUCACUCCAGGUCCAGUCAAAAUUUCCGAGGACUGCUUGUACUUGAACAUCUAUAGACCGGAAGGUGCGGUACCGGAAGAAAAGUUUCCAGUCAUGGUUUGGUUUCAUCCUGGUGAUUUUCAUUGGGGAUCACCGAUUUAUUGGGACGCUUCAGUUUUGGCUGCUAGACACAAAGUGAUCGUGGUUACUACGGCCUAUCGUUUGAAUAUAUUGGGCUUCUACACGGACAACACUGCAGAGGCGUCAGGCAACUGGGGCUUGAUGGAUCAGGCAGCCGCACUGGACUGGGUGCAGCGGAACAUCGAAAACUUCGGCGGUGCGGCGCAGAACGUGACAGUGUUCGGGCAGGGCUCAGGCGCAGUAAGCGUGGGCCUGCACGUGGUGUCACCUGGGUCUCGAGACAAGUUCCACCGGGCGAUCAGUAUGAGCGGAAACGCGCUGCUUCGGACCGCCGUGAUGACAGCAGACGGACCGGAAGCGGUACUGGAUGCGUUGGCUGACAAGUUCAACUGCUUUCGGAACACGUUGACAGGGUGUCUGCGGAACGUGGACGCCGAGUUGCUCGUGAAGGGUGGUGGUUCAUUGACCCGUUGGGGCCCGGUGGUCGACGGUCUGGCGCUAGCCAACGACAGCAGUGGUCUAGAACCAUUUUUACCGGAUAUGCCUGCCGCACUUAUGGACGACGGCCGGUUCACCGCUGUCCCGUACAUGAUCGGCUACAACCGAAUGGAGGACUCGUUCGAUGCAUUUGACAGAGGGGAUGGUGGUGGUGGUGCUGGUGGUGCUGGUGGUGAAGGCAUAACCAGAGAUCGGUUUGAGGCAUUGGUUCGGGAAGACGUCGCGAUCGAGGACGAAGACGAUCGUCGGAUUCGUCAGUUCCGGAAGUUCCAGCAACAACAGCAACAGCAGCCAGUCGCUACGGUCACCACUGGGGAAGCGGUAAGUGGAUUUUCGGACGGUGAAAUGAUCAUCAACGAUGAGGGGAACUGUACGCUGGACGCUGACUUUGUUGUGGAUACGGUCGUGUUUCGGUAUGCCAGGCAAACGGAUGACCCAGAAACUCUGCGACGGAAUUACGUGAUCAUGGCUGCCAACAAGGUAUACGGGGCCACCACUUACCGGGUGGCCAGUUACGUGUCACGCCUGAAAUCCACGUACGUGUACCGGUACGAAUAUAAGUUACGUGCGACCAAAGCGCUGCCUGCUGCCGCCGAAUGGAUGGACGCACCGCACGGGGCCGAGCUGCCCAUCAUGUGGGGCAUGCCNUACUGGCCGUCNGCCACNGCCAUCGACUGGACGGCCGCCGACCGACGGAUGUCGGACACCAUGAUGGCAAUGUGGACAAACUUCGCACGGCACGCCGAUCCAGCACACCGCUCAGCCGCGGUCAACGUCCGGUGGGAAGAGUAUGAGGCNCGCAACCCCCGCGUCAUGGUGCUGGACAAGGUGCCAAACAUGUCACAACCCGACCAGGAGCCUGAGUUCUGGAAUAAGUACUACCCCAAGGUGCUGGCCGUCGCGCUGCAAUGUUGUGCUAAUCAAACUGUAGAAUCGGCCGCCACCAACGUUGUAGGGGAGCCCGGGCCCACCGUUUUGAUUGCGUUGGGUCUGGUGGUCCUAUCGUNGUCAUUGGUAGCGAACUCAUUGUCGCUGAUGGUAUAAGCACGUGUACCGACCACACAAAUGCCAACUUAAUGUUAUUUCAUAGCUAGGACAAUAAUUUUUACAGUAUAAUAUGUGUUGUUACUAGGUAUAUUAUUCUUUAAAAUUAUUAAAAUAUUAUCAUUCUCAUCAGGUCCGUGGAAUACGUUUUGAAUUUUUAAGCGACGAUAAUGCCGGAAGCGUGCUACUGCGUUUUUUAAUAGGGGUGAUGGUUGGGUGUCAUGAAUGUUGGGAAAAUAUCGAUUUCUUUCCCUAAAAUACGUGGUUUGUAUAGUAUGAAAUGUCGGAAAACAAUAACUGCUCUAUUGCACCACCACGCGUAUCGUGAAAGUCGACAAUAACUACACCUCACAUGAACCACACACGUAAUUCAGUUUUAUGUNUUUACGGUAUAAACUAAAUUAAAACAAUCAACAAAAGUAUACAUAUAAUAUAAUACAACUGUUAUUUGAAUUUCUAAAACAAAAAAUACCUAAUAGAUACUAUUAAUUAGUAUUAUUUGUGGUAUUCAAUUAUUGUGAAGAUGUACAAGCUCUAUUUUGUUUUGUUAUAUUGUGCCCUUUUAUAUCAUUAGGAUUUUGGUUAAGGGAUUUUUAAAGAUUUUUAAAUUGUGUCCCUAAAAUAUGUUUCAGUACAAUCAAACAAGCACAUGUGUAUUGUAUACUUUAUUUCAAAAGUUUCUUUGAAAUUAGAUUUAUUUUUCAAAAACCAUUAAUUUAAAAUGUAUUAAGAAUGAUAAAAAGAUCUAU